UGGCGAUAUGCUACCAGCAUAAAACCAGAAUAGACUACGAGUGAGACUGUUCAGGUUUUAUGCCGUUUGCUGCUCAGCAGUACCUAAUGGUUUGAAAUGAAGCCUUAACAACUUAAAUAUAGUAAGAUAAGCCUUAAAUUAAAUGUGAUUUUGAAAGGGACUUGAAAGGUAUAUUUCAACAUUUGUCUUUUAUAACGCUGACGCUUUUUACCCUAGCUGGGUGAGAGGCUGCCCCGCUGGGUGCUUGAGACCACGUACGGUUUCAACCUACCGGCCCCUGGAGAGGGGGAGGACCCCCACAGACCCUCCAGAGUGUACGAGCUGCGUAAUACAUAUUGAGGGCAAGCUGCUGUACUGCCACCCAUCCCCGGAUGUGGACUCAGAGGCGUUCAGCAAGUUUGAAUAAAGGAGACCAGUCAAGACAGGCCCUGCUGGCAGUCGGGACCAGCCGGGGUCAUCAGACAACACAAAGCCACUGCCGCCCAGCAAGAUUGAUGCAGAUUUCUUUAGAAAGCGUGGUAGCACCCAGCUGGCUGCCAUGAUGUCCAUGCCAGGGUUCAGACAGACAUGCCUCCCACAGCAAGGUCAUCAGUUCUCUUUUGCUAACUCAGCCUUUAGUCCUGUCAGCCAGCCGCCUGGAAUGUAUGGACACAUGGGGCAUUUUCAAGGAUUUCAUAAGCAAAGGCCUCAUUAUGGGAAUUAAAGUCACCAGCAGAACUACAGGGGAAGGCCCCAGAGUAAACCUCAAGCAGCCAAUCAUUCUGCAGCUUACCAGCAGCCAGGCAGCAGGGCUUUAACAACCAGUGGCAUACAGCCAAUCAUGGUCAGGACCAGUCUGGAUCAGCCAAUCAGAAUGAAGGAAACAAAGCUGAAAGUGUGCCAUACGCUCAGCAGACAGCCAAUCAGCCAGCUAAGAGCAAACCAACCAGUGUUGU